GAUGAACGCUGGCGGCGUGCCUAAUACAUGCAAGUCGAGCGAACGGACGAGAAGCUUGCUUCUCUGAUGUUAGCGGCGGACGGGUGAGUAACACGUGGAUAACCUACCUAUAAGACCGGGAUAACUUCGGGAAACCGGAGCUAAUACCGGAUAAUAUUUUGAACCGCAUGGUUCAAAAGUGAAAGACGGUCUUGCUGUCACUUAUAGAUGGAUCCGCGCUGCAUUAGCUAGUUGGUAAGGUAACGGUUUACCAAGGCAACGAUGCAUAGCCGACCUGAGAGGGUGAUCGGCCACACUGGAACUGAGACACGGUCCAGACUCCUACGGGAGGCAGCAGUAGGGAAUCUUCCGCAAUGGGCGAAAGCCUGACGGAGCAACGCCGCGUGAGUGAUGAAGGUCUUCGGAUCGUAAAACUCUGUUAUUAGGGAAGAACAUAUGUGUAAGUAACUGUGCACAUCUUGACGGUACCUAAUCAGAAAGCCACGGCUAACUACGU
rnacentral:rRNA from 1 species